GUACCCGUCUAACUUAAGCAUAUCAAUAAGCGGAGGAAAAGAAACCAACAGGGAUUGCCCUAGUAACGGCGAGUGAAGCGGCAACAGCUCAAAUUUGAAAUCUGGCCUCCAGGCCCGAGUUGUAAUUUGUAGAGGAAGCUUCUGGCGAGGUACCUGCUGAGUCCCCUGGAACGGGGCGCCAUAGAGGGUGAGAGCCCCGUAUAGCAGAGUGCCGACCCUGUGUGAAGCUCCUUCGACGAGUCGAGUAGUUUGGGAAUGCUGCUCUAAAUGGGAGGUAAAUUUCUUCUAAAGCUAAAUAUUGGCCAGAGACCGAUAGCGCACAAGUAGAGUGAUCGAAAGAUGAAAAGCACUUUGAAAAGAGGGUUAAAUAGCACGUGAAAUUGUUGAAAGGGAAGCGCUUGUGAUCAGACUUGCGCCCGGCGGAUCAUCCUGCGUUCUCGCCGGUGCACUCCGCCAGGCUCAGGCCAGCAUCGGUUCUCACGGGGGGACAAAGGCUCGGGGAACGUGGCUCCUCCGGGAGUGUUAUAGCCCCUUGCGCAAUGCCCUCGCGGGGACCGAGGUUCGCGCAUCUGCAAGGAUGCUGGCGUAAUGGUCAUCAGCGACCCGUCUUGAAACACGGACC
rnacentral:rRNA from 1 species